rnacentral:rRNA from 1 species
GUGAGGAAUAUUGCGCAAUGGAGGCAACUCUGACGCAGCCAUGCCGCGUGCAGGAAGAAGGCGCUACGCGUUGUAAACUGCUUUUAACCGGGAAGAAACCCCAGGACGUGUCCUGGGUUGACGGUACCGGAGGAAUAAGCACCGGCUAACUUCGUGCCAGCAGCCGCGGUAAUACGAAGGGUGCAAGCGUUAUCCGGAUUCAUUGGGUUUAAAGGGUGCGUAGGAGGAGCGUUAAGUCAGUGGUGAAAUCCUGCAGCUUAACUGUAGACUUGCCAUUGAUACUGGCGCUCUUGAGUGCGCUUGAAGUGGGCGGAAUGUGCCGUGUAGCGGUGAAAUGCUUAGAUAUGGCACAGAACACCAAUUGCGAAGGCAGCUCACUAAGGCGAUACUGACGCUGAGGCACGAAAGCGUGGGGAUCGAACAGGAUUAGAAACCCUGGUAGUCC